UGGGGAAUAUUGCACAAUGGGCGCAAGCCUGAUGCAGCCAUGCCGCGUGUAUGAAGAAGGCCUUCGGGUUGUAAAGUACUUUCAGCGAGGAGGAAGGCGUUGUGGUUAAUAACCGCAGCGAUUGACGUUACUCGCAGAAGAAGCACCGGCUAACUCCGUGCCAGCAGCCGCGGUAAUACGGAGGGUGCAAGCGUUAAUCGGAAUUACUGGGCGUAAAGCGCACGCAGGCGGUUUGUUAAGUCAGAUGUGAAAUCCCCGGGCUCAACCUGGAACUGCAUUUGAAACUGGCAAGCUUGAGUCUUGUAGAGGGGGGUAGAAUUCCAGGUGUAGCGGUGAAAUGCGUUAGAGAUCUGGAGGAAUACCGGUGGCGAAGGCGGCCCCCUGGCACAAAGACUGACGCUCAGGUGCGAAAAGCGUGGGGAGCAAACA
rnacentral:rRNA from 1 species